rnacentral:misc_RNA from 1 species
AAAAAGUAUAGUAAUCAAAGCGGUCUUGUGAAGGGUGCAUGUAGCAGUCCUUUUGUACAAGCGUGGGUCUUAUGCAAUGAAAAUCUGCGAACCGUGUCAGGUCGGGAACGAAGCAGCACUAAGCAGAACCUUUCAUGUGUUGUAAGGUCGCCUGCGCUGCGUCGGAAGUCAACGUGCAUGUAUCCCUCACAGGACCGCUUUCUUUUU